rnacentral:lncRNA from 1 species
AAAAAAAUUCUCAUUCUCCAUCUUUUCUCUUCUACACCAAAUUUUUUCAAAUUUCCACUUCCAAUCAUUUACCCAUUUUCUCCCAACGCCUUUCCAAAGUAGAAUUUGAAGAAAAGAAGAGGAAUUAAAGAGAAAAUUCAAGGUUGAGGAAGGGUGAAUAGUAAUAAAGUGUUGAAAAAUUUAAAGGUAUGUUAGGGGUUUUGCUGUAGGAAUAUUUCUUAUCAUUUUUAUGUGAAUAUUUAUGAAGAAUAUUGUAUUAAUAUGAUUUAUUUAUUUAUUUUUCAUGAAGAAGAAUGGAAGGGAAGAGUGGAAACUCUAAAGGGAAAGGAAAUGAAUAUUAGAAAAUUUUAAGCUAGAAAAUUUUAAGCUAGAAAAUUUUAAGCUUGUGGAAGAUUUUGGAAGGUUUAAGGUUUGUGCUCAACUUUAUUUGAAUAAAUUCAAUAAUUUGUUAAUUGGGUUUUAUUUGAAAAUUUUACUAUCUUAGUAAAACUAGAUCAAGUGAAUAAUAUUUUAGUUAUAUAGCAUGAUUAAAGUUUAAAGAAAUGAUAAAAUUUUGAAAUUAAUAUAUAAUUUGAGCAAAACUCAAGUUAUGGAUCAAGUGGAAUGUCUCUACUUUCUUUGAUGGGAUGUAAUUUGGCUAAGAUAUAAUAAUAAAAAAAAUAUUAGUCUAAAUAAAGAAUACUACUUUUUAUAUGUUAAACGUUGUAAAUUAGUUAAAUUAUGGUUGAAAGGAAGUUGUUGGAUAAAAAUAAAAAUUAAAAGAAAAAGAGAAAUAAAAUAUGGUGUAUCGUGAUAAAUAGAAAAAGAUAUUAGAUUAUAAAAAAAUAGUAAUAAUAAAAAUAAUAAUAGUUAAUUAAUUAAGGAUUAAAUUAUGAAUUUGUAAUUUAUGUAGUUGAAUUAAAUUAAUAGAUUUAUAUGAUAUGACAAUGUUUAAAAGCAGAGUUGUAAUAUGAUAAAAUAUUAUAGUUUGAAUAAUUGAAAGUUACACUGUAUUGAAAGUUUUUGUCCCCAUAUUUAAAUGUAUAAAUUAUUUAAAGUCUGACCCUAACAAGUUUGGUGGGAAUUGUGAGUUAGUUUAAGGGUGUGGCAUGCCAUAUACAGAUCUUGCAGUACUGCGCUACAGUUACACUGAUUGGUACCCUACAGGUAUGGCUGAUAUACUUUACCGCUACAGUUAUAGACUCUUUUGAGUCAUAACACUUUGUGCCCUAUAGAUAUAGUUUCCUUAUCUGAUUUAACAGUCCUAUUUAAAUUUAUAGGAGGCAAAAAGAAAAUAAAAAUAAUAAAUAAAAGUAUUAAGAGAAAAUAAAACUUUUGACAUGAUGAAGAAAAAGAAAAAGACUAUGAAAUUAAAAUCUAUAUAUAUGUGAAAUAAUAAUAUGAUUUAGAAUUAUUUCAAAUUAUUAGUUAUAUAGUUUAUUAUCAUUUGUUUGACUUAUGGUUAAUAAAUAAAUUUUGAUUUAAAUGUUUUAUUUAAAAAAAAAUUGAUUGACCACCACUAAAUAAUUUACUUAGCGCGUAG